rnacentral:lncRNA from 1 species
GAGAUUCUGUCAGCUCUGGCCUGAAUUUGUCAGAGACUCAUUUGGUGUUUCAUUUGAAAUAUUUAUGCUUUCAGUUUUGAUCAAUUGCGAAAACAACAAUUAGGCUAACACAAUGUCCGACCUUUGUUGUUCUUCCACUGGAAAUGUUUCAUUGAUGCUGUUUAGUGUUUUAUUUUUUAUUUUACCGUUAUUUUUUUUACACAUUCUCAUUUACUGCAACGACCUGGGGAACUGUUUCAGGGGAGAGGAGGGGUAUGAAUGAGCUAAUUGUAAGCUGUGGAUGAUUCGAUGACGGUGAUGGUAUGAGGACCAGUAACAGUCUGGAAUGGUUUUGCUCAACGUGUUUUCAUCCAGUUAAACUACUAGUUGAUGGAGAGGCGAGUGAGUUCGGUUUGAUAGAAUGUAGUCGUAACUUUGGCGACUUGAGACGUUGAUGUUUUCUCUGUCAUAUUUCACAGAGAAACUCUUAUCGUGGAUGAGAGUGAUGUCUGAGACAGAUGAAUGGACUGUUGAGAGGAGGAGUUUGUCUGUUUAUCUCGGUCUUCCCGUAAACAGGGUCUAGCUAUCCCUCAAGCCUUCCAAACCAUGUGGGUGGCUCUGGUGACUGGCACGCCGGACUGCUUCAUUCAUUUACCACAAGGGGUCACGGAUAUAGACCACUUGAGAAGAAUAAAUGUGUUUUGUUUUCCAAAGUGAGGGAUUUUGCACAAUACAUUUGUUUGCUCAACCCCAUCAUUUGGCCAUCCAGCG